AGAAACCACGGUCCACAACAAAUAUUUUUCUGGUAACGUCAGAAUCUUAUGCGUAGUACUCCCCUUAGUGCAUAGUCCCCCUCAUCAAUAUGUCAUGUACUCAUGUACUCAUGUGGUAUGGUGGUCCGAUGGCGAUGGGAUGCAGUUCAAAGUUCAAAGUUCGCUACACACGCCCAUCAAAUAUAACCAACUGACUACGAAAAAACAACUAAAGAACUCAGCUAAGUUUAAAACCACUAGAAUCACGACAUUGUACAUGUAAGGCAAAUAUAUUUAAUUUGAUCAUAUGUAAUUUCAGAAAAUCAUGUGGAUUGGACGGAUCUACAGAAAAGGGACGUUUUGAUGCUUGAUUUCAAUUUAUGUGAUUUAUCUUCGAUUUCAAUCAUAACCAUUACCUACAAUCUGGAAAAUGGAUUUAAGACCAUCAAAUUUAAUGAAUAAAUUAUAAGACAUCAUUUAUACAAGCAGUGACUAAUUCGAUAUUUAUGAAGCACAAAACUACAUUUAAUUGGAGAUAAAAUAUUAAAAUAAAGGCAAAUUACUUAUUAAAAUAUGGUCUGAGGGUUGAAACGGAUUGUUCACUUUUGAAAGGAGUCAAUGUAUGAUUGUCAAUGUCAAUGUAACAUUGUAUGCCAUAUAGAAAAUAAAUAUUUAAUUAUAAUUUAAAUAUAGUGGAAUACAUCAUCCUCACUAAUAAUGAUGCAUUUCAUUAGAUUCAAGUAUACUGGAAGUUUGUAACAUUAAAUGGAAAUCUGCUCAAUCCAAAUGCUCAAGCGAAGUUCAUUAGAGAAUCAAGUAGAAUCUGAAAUGUAUAAAACCUAAGUAGCACAAUUAAAAAAAUUUAACCAUUUGAAAUACAUAAUACAAUACAAUUUAACAUAUAUAUCUUUUUGGUAAGAUUGAUGAAUGGAUGAAAAAUUAUAUAAAAUCAGCAAUAAUACAAAAUUUUCUAUUAUGAAACCUGGUAAAGAUCGUCAAUACGCAAACCAAAUUAUAUUUUUAUCGAUUUAAAACAGGAUAUUUGUUAAUUAUAAGGUUAAAUAUAAAAAAAGUAGAAUUGAGCCAUUUAACACGUUGAACGCCGACGUCGAUUUGGCAUGCGCACGCCAGUGGCCGACAUCAUUAGACCUACAGGCGACCGUCGCCAAUUGUAAAAUUAGUAGAUUUUACGGAAUUGUCAAUACGGUUAUGAAUGUUCUAUAGAAUUUUUAAAUGUGUUCAUCUAUAGCCACCAAAAAAGACUCAAUACAAAAUAUGUUACUCUAUGUCAACCACGGAUUGACACCGGCCAUGGGCGUCCACCUACUUGUGUCAACUGGUUGACAUUGGCGUUUAACGUGUUAAAAAUGUUUAAUUAAUAUUAUACUAGUUUAUUUUAUAAACAUUAUAAUGAUUUAUUGACAAGCAAUUUAAUAAUUUUAAUAAUUAUACUAAUUAUAAAUAUACUUUAAUAAUUUGUA